ensembl:snoRNA SNORD115 Small nucleolar RNA SNORD115
GUGUCAGUGAUGAGAUGUUAUCUUGAAGAGAAAUGAUGAUGUAAAAAUUAAGCUCAGAUGGAUUAUGCUGAGGCCC